UUUCGCCUAACCUGGCGAAGCUUUUCAAAUGACUGCACAUUAUUUUCCCUCCUUUGCAUCCUUCUUGUGUGGAGUCUGUGAGCUUUUUCCCUUGGCCUGAAGACAUUGUACGGAUUGGUGUCAUUAACUGGUGGAGGAGGCUGCAAGUGUCGCAGAAUAGGCUUCUGCCAUCUUUCGCGCUUUUGCUUCCAAUAAUUAUAAACAGACAGUAAAACUGCAUGUCGGGCGGACUGACCUUGAGCUUGCAUGGCCUCAAUUGCAGAAUCAAGUUGUAGAAGUACAGGGAUUGGUGAAGCAAGAGUGGGGGUUAUAACCCCUGCUCUUUCCCGAGCUUUAUGAUCCAACACUUCCAACUUGAAAAGAAGAUUUUCAAACCUUUCAGGUGAAAGAUGCUUCCUAUCUUUAUUGAAGUCUUGAAGCCAAACCUCAUCCUCAUUGUCG
rnacentral:misc_RNA from 1 species